CCUACGGGAGGCUGCAGUCGAGAAUCAUUCACAAUGGGGGAAACCCUGAUGGUGCGACGCCGCGUGGGGGAAUGAAGGUCUUCGGAUUGUAAACCCCUGUCAUGGGGGAGCAAAUUAAAAAGAUAGUACCACAGGAGGAAGAGACGGCUAACUCUGUGCGAGCAGCCGCGGUAAUACCGAGGUCGCAAGCGUUGUUCGGAAUCACUGGGCGUAAAGCGUGCGUAGGCGGUUUCGUAAGUCGUGUGUGAAAGGCGCGGGCUCAACCCGCGAACUGCACAUGAUACUGCGAGACUAGAGUAAUGGAGGGGGAAGCGGAAUUCUAGGUGUAGCAGUGAAAUGCGUAGAUAUCGGGAGGAACACUCGUGGCGAAGGCGGGUUCCUGGACAUUAACUGACGCUGAGGAACGAAGGCCAGGGUAGCGAAAGGGAUUAGAUACCCGAGUAGUC
rnacentral:rRNA from 1 species